UCUUUUUCGGCUGCAGAGAAAACAAUUUUCGUCGCUGGGUCCUCAUUUGACGCUCCAGGCCUUUAGAGAGCAUGGCUCUUGUAGCAGAACUCUACCAGCGCUACCAUCAUGGCCAGACCCAGACCUCCAACCAGGAUGUAGAAGACUCCUGCUACGUUACUGAGAGAAAGAGCACUGGUCUUCUCCUAGUACACACACACACACACACACACACACACACACACACACACACACACA